UACAGAGGUCUCAAGCGUUGUUCGGAUUCAUUGGGCGUAAAGGGGUGCGUAGGUGGCGCGGUAAGUCGGGUGUGAAAUUUCGGAGCUUAACUCCGAAACUGCAUUCGAUACUGCCGUGCUUGAGGACUGGAGAGGAGACUGGAAUUUACGGUGUAGCAGUGAAAUGCGUAGAUAUCGUAAGGAAGACCAGUGGCGAAGGCGGGUCUCUGGACAGUUCCUGACACUGAGGCACGAAGGCCAGGGGAGCAAACGGG
rnacentral:rRNA from 1 species